GUUCCUUUUAGUAUCAGCCAUUUUGUUAACUCUGACCUUCUAGACUGUUGUGGUGUUUUAGGUUGUGGAGGGUGUGAAGUUAUCAUUUUAUAUCAUUCUUUGGAAACUUGAAGGAGGUUUCUUUAAACUGGUCAUGGAAAAUCGGGGCACAGUCAACACAAAGAAUCUGGGCCUUCCACCAAAGUACUAAUCACAGAAUGUCGCUAUUCAACGAAAUUUUGCCAGUCAAGCAAUCACAAGAAGUGAAGAUUGGUUACCAUCCAUCAGAAAAUUUAGAAACCGGUUUUUCUAAAAAGAUUUCAAAGGAACAUAAGAAGCAAUGUGCUGGCCACCAGUUGUUAAACUAUCGUAAAAGCUGCUACUCCGACCUUGCUCUUCACAUCUGGACUUCAGAGUCAUAACAUACAUUUAAGGUCAUGGAAAACCAGGGAAUGGUUAACACACACAAUUGAGAUUUUACAGUCAAGAAACCUGAAGUAGUGAAGACUGGUCUUUCAUCCACUGUAAAAAUAUAGUGAUCAGUUUUUCUAAAAGAUUUGACAUAAGGUGUAGUAGCAACAUGUAGGCCAUCAGCUGCUAAGCCAAAAUCCCAGUUAGCAACGAGCAGCAGCUACAUGUUAACCACCCUCCUUCAAGUGCAAUUUCUAGAACGAUGACUACAGAGGCAGCAACGAGUGGACAUUUCUUAAGGAGAAUACUGCGCUACAAAGGUAGCAAUGUGUGGACCACCCUCCUUUGGCAGAGCUAUUGGGAGGAAGAUUAAUUCAGAGGCAGCAACGAGUGGACAUUUCUUAAGGAGAAUACUGCGCUACAAAGGUAGCAAUGUGUGGACCACCCUCCUUCGGUAGAGCUAUUGGGAGAUAGUAUAUAGUAUAUUUUCUACUUUAUACUUUAACAUUAUACUGUAUGGUCCUUGACUAGUUUUCAAGUAUCUUAAGUUUUACACUGUAACCAUCUAGUCAAAAUUUAAUUUGGAAAGAAAAAUUGGUUUUACCAUGCAUCGAAAUUCACCAAUUUUUUUGCUAUCCACAGGUGGAAUAGUAGUUAUGGCAGGAGAUCCACAGAUGGAAUUUGCUGAACGAUGACUACAGAGGCAGUAACAUUUAGACCUCUUUCUCUUAAGAAGAAUACUGCGCUACAGAGGCAGCAACUUGUGGACCACCCUCCUUCACCAGAGCUCCGGUGAGGAGUAAUGCAGAGGAAACGAUGUAUGGAACACUUUCACCAAAGCAGCUGCCUAAAAGAUGACACCAGAGGUAGCCAUAUGAUACUUCAGCAUGUCAAUAUUUCAAUAAACAACUGUCUAUAUUAGUAAAUAAAGUACUGAAUGAGUAAUAAUGUCUUUCAGGGGAGGCAUUUUCUCUUCACCGCUUAACUAUGCUGAUCCGUGAAUAUUCUGACGUAUUACUUCUCUACUGUUUGAUCUCUCUAAACAUUACGCUUUUCUUUGGAAGAUUUUUCAAAUACACAUUUCCACUGGUUUUGUCUUCCUCACUGGUGGAUCUUUAAAGAGAAUCACUAGUGGAGAAGUCACAUCAAAACACACUUCUCCACAAGUGGAUCUUCUCCAUCUGUUGAUCUCUUGACAUAAUUUCUCCACCUGUGAGUCUCUUGACAUCUCAACCAGUGGUGAAUAUCUUUAAACACUAUCUCCAUAGGUCUCUUCUCCGUCUGUGGAGCUGCUGACAUUAUACUACUUCUCCACCUGUGGAUAGCAAAAAAUAAAACCAAUUUUUCUUUCCAAAUUUAAUUUUGACUAUACGUACAGUAAAAACUUAGUCACUUGAAAACUAGUCAAGGGUCAUAUACUAUACAGAAUAAGUAGAAAGUAUAUAAAUGCAAAGUAAAAACUAUAUGAAUACACAAUAUUCUUAGUCAAAGAACAAAGCAUUUAUGUAUUUCUCAAUAACUUAUAAUCAUAUACUUUAAUUACUGUUUAGUGAAGUAAGAUCACUCUUCUGCCACCUGUAUUUGCUCCAAAUGCAUGGAAAAAAUGAUAACUGCAAAUAAGACUUUGCUCAAUAUUCACUAGAAAACAGUAACAUUGCAAAUUUAAAUUCCAAAUAUUCAAAGUUAAAUUUAUCAGUACCAUAUAUCCAUCUGAUCCUCCUGCUCGUUGUCAUGUGCCUUUGGUAUUAUCAUUGUCAUUAUCUCGUGCCUUAUACGUACCUUUGUAAAUAAUAAAAUGCUCAAGAUAAAGAA